AUUGAACGCUGGCGGCAUGCUUUACACAUGCAAGUCGAACGAGUGGCGAACGGGUGCGUAAUAUACCGGAACGUACCGAGUAACGGGGGAUACCCAAUCGAAAGAUUGGCUAAUACCGCAUACUAUUCGAGCGGCCGAUAAAUGAUUAGCUAGUUGGUGGGGUAAAGGCAUACCAAGGCAACGAUCAGCAGCGGGGCUGAGAGGACGAUCCGCCACACUGGGACUGAGCCACAGCCCAGACUCCUACGGGAGGCAGCAGUGGGGAAUUUUGGACAAUGGGGGCAACCCUGAUCCAGCCAUGCCGCGUGUAUGAAGAAGGCCUUCGGGUUGUAAAGUACUUUUGUUAGGGAAGCGGUACCUAAAGAAUAAGCACCGGCUAACUACGUGCCAGCAGCCGCGGUAAUUC
rnacentral:rRNA from 1 species